rnacentral:rRNA from 1 species
GUAGGUGCAAGCGUCGUCCGGAAUUAUUGGGCGUAAAGCGCGCGCAGGUGGGUUCUUUUAAGUCUGAUGUGAAAGCCCCCGGGCUCAACCGGGGAGGGUCAUUGGAAACUGGGGAACUUGAGUGCAGGAGAGGAAAGUGGAAUUCCACGUGUAGCGGUGAAAUGCGUAGAUAUGUGGAGGAACACCAGUGGCGAAGGCGACUUUCUGGCCUGUAACUGACACUGAGGCGCGAAAGCGUGGGGAGCAAACAGGAUUAGAUACCCUGGUAGUCCACGCCGUAAACGAUGAGUGCUAAGUGUUGGGGGGUUUCCGCCCCUCAGUGCUGCAGCUAACGCAUUAAGCACUCCGCCUGGGGAGUACGGUCGCAAGACUG